CACAACAGCCCUGCUUUUGCCAGACUUCAAUAUUGUGGCAGUGUAAUGGUCACUUUGGAAGGGAUGAACACCCAUUAUAUCUGGGUUUUCAGAGGAUUCCAAGAAACCCAAUCUAGAGAUGAGGCUCUAAAGCAAGGCAGAGUGUAGUAAGGGAUAAGCUGGUGAUUUUUCAAAGAUGCUUGGUUGACCCGGGGUGCACAGUGCUGGUGCCACCUCUGGGCAGGACCCGGGCAGGUCAGAGCUCCCUUGUUUAGGGGCCAGAUGUUUCCUGUGGAAAGAAACUUUUAUUGGAGGUAAGCACAGUUCUUUGAAAUUCUGUAGAUCAUAGAACUAUAUAAU
rnacentral:lncRNA from 1 species